rnacentral:rRNA from 1 species
AUUGAACGCUGGCGGCAUGCCUAACACAUGCAAGUCGAGCGAGCGGCGGACGGGUGAGUAAUGUCUGGGAAACUGCCUGAUGGAGGGGGAUUACUCCUGGAAACGGUAGCUAAUUCCGCAUACCAUCAGAUGUGCCCAGGUGGGAUUAGCUAGUAGGUGGGGUAACGGCUAACCUAGGCGACGAUCCCUAGCUGGUCUGAGGGGAUGACCAGCCACACUGGAACGAGGACACGGUCCAGCGUCCAACGUGAGUCAGCAGUGGGAAGUAGUGCACAAGGGGCGCAAGCCUGAUGCAGCCAGGCCGGGUGUGGGAAGAGGGCCUUCGGGUUGUAAAGCACGUUCAGCGGGGAGGCGUUACCCGCAGAAGAAGCACCGGCUAACUCCGUGCCAGCAGCCGCGGUAAUAC